CCGCCGUGGCGUAGCGCCCCAUCCCGGCCUCCGGGCGCUACGGCGCGGAAACAGCGCAGAGGCCGUCGUGAAUAGCGCGGGGGGACUACAAGCCCCGAGGGGCGCCGCGCGGAGGAAGCGGAAGGCGGCGGCCCGAGCGGAGCGCACCGGGAGCGGUGGUGCGGGGCCGGGGCGCGGCCGGCGGGGUCCCCCGGCGGGCGGAGGGACCGGCGGGGAGCGGGAGGCGGCGAGGCGCGGCCGGUAGCGGCGGCCCCUGCCUUGAGGGGAGGACUACAACUCCCAGGGUGCUUUGCGGCCGGCGGGACGCCGCGGCAGCGCGCCGCCUCGGGGCGGGGGGGCGAGGCCCGGCCCGGCCCGGCGGGCCCCGGGUCUCCGGUCGCUCGGGGCCGUGGGUGCGGACGGCGGGUUCUUGCGCGGUUCUGAGCUCUCAAGCGAAGGCGGCCUUUUCUUCCGAGGCUACGUGAGCCCCUGAGCGUGUCCCGGCGCCGCGGGGCGAGCGGCCCUCAUCCGCUUCCCCCGGGGCGGGCAGCGGCAGCGUUAGGAGAUGGAGGAUGAGGGCUCGGGCGUUCCCGGUGCAGAGAUCAGAAGCCCGGGGCUGAGCAAAGCCGGGCCGCCCGGCCUUCCCGCUGCACGGCCAGCCCAGCCGCCUUGGAAGAAGCCGCUGAACCCUGGCUAAUUACAGCUCUUAAUGACCUGGCGGCACAUGAAGCCAACCUGAAACUGGCAGGGAGUUGCCUGGGCCCUCCGGGCGAUGCGCAGCCGUGCUUCAGCUUCGGCUGGCAAGGAGCCGUACCGGCGGGGAGGUGGAGAGCGUGGGCGCGCAGCGGCGGGAGCCUCGGUGAGCCUCCCGAAAGCUCUCGCCCGUGAACCGCAGCCUUCGGGUGCUGCGAAGCCAGCGCUUGAGGUGCGGCUGGGCUGCCAGGUAGGUACAGGUGGGGCCUGCUCUUCUAUCCAGCUUCAGAUCUACAAUCCCUCACUUUUUGAGAUCAACGUCCCAACCCAGCCCCCUGCCAGACUCACCUGUUCAAGAAGCAGCUUCAAACCCUCCCGCCCCGCUGAGGUGAGAAGCGGGAGCAGUUCGUGCAGCAGCACCUGCUGAGCUCAGGGUGCACGGUGCUCCCCUCCCAGAGUCACAAGUGAAAAUGGGAAGGGGGAUCCCAGAUGUGAAUCGGCCAAGAUGGGCCGGCACGCACGGAUGUGAAAUAAAUGGUCAUUGUUCCAGUAAAAGCGGCGUCGCUCAUGCCACCGCACUUGAA